rnacentral:rRNA from 1 species
GACGAACGCUGGCGGCGUGCCUAAUACAUGCAAGUCGAGCGAAUCAAUAGGAGCUUGCUCCUGUUGGUUAGCGGCGGACGGGUGAGUAACACGUGGGCAACCUGCCUGUAAGACUGGGAUAACACCGGGAAACCGGUGCUAAUACCGGAUAAUCCUUUUCCUCUCAUGAGGAAAAGCCGAAAGUCGGUUUCGGCUGACACUUACAGAUGGGCCCGCGGCGCAUUAGCUAGUUGGUGAGGUAACGACUCACCAAGGCGACGAUGCGUAGCCGACCUGAGAGGGUGAUCGGCCACACUGGGACUGAGACACGGCCCAGACUCCUACGGGAGGCAGCAGUAGGGAAUCUUCCACAAUGGACGAAAGUCUGAUGGAGCAACGCCGCGUGAGCGAUGAAGGCCUUCGGGUCGUAAAGCUCUGUUGUUAGGGAAGAACAAGUAUCGGAGUAACUGCAGGUACCUUGACGGUACCUAACCAGAAGGCCACGGCUAACUACGUGCCAGCAGCCGCGGUAAGAC